AUAUUGUGAUCGUAAAGCAUACAUAGUUUUUAAGUGUUUUCAUCAGUAUUUUAUAUGUACUUUCACAUAGAAAGUGCAAGUAUUUUGUGAAAGUGCUAUUGUGUUUUAAGUGUUAUUUUGUCCAUAUAUUUUGAAAAGUGAUUUUAAUAAGUGUGCGUUGAUCUUUAUCAACGUAAGUCAUUCCCGAAGCUCUUGAAUGAUGCUAGGCUUCUUGUGCCCAUGUAUAAC
rnacentral:lncRNA from 1 species